UGGAUGCCUAGGCGGUUUUGGCCGAAGAAGGACGUUUGUAUACCAACGAUAUCGUCGGUGAGACGGUCAACAGUCUUUGACCCGGCGGUUUCCGAAUCGAGUAAUCGUUCCGAUUUUAUCGGAAACUGUACUGUGAAUAAUUCACCUUUGGUGGAUAGGUAACAGUUCAGGGGGCACCAUCCGAACUGAAACAUCUAAGUAGGAUGAGGAAAAGAAAUCAUAAGAGAUUCCGUAAGUAGCGGCGAGCGAAAGCGGAAGAGUCUAAAUCCCGCUUUAUGCGGGAGGUUGCAGGGCUUCCGAUAUAGGAUGAGAGGCGGAUAAUAGAACUGCUUGGAAUAGCAGACCAUAGAGCGUGAAAGUCGUGUAUAUGAAAUCCAAAUCUCCCUUAGGGAGUUCCUAAGUACCACGGGGCACGGCAAAACCCUGUGGGAAUCUGGGUGGUCCACCAUCCAAGACUAAACACCAAAACCGACCGAUAGUGAACAAGUACCGUGAGGGAAAGGUUAAAAGUACCCGGCAACGGGAGUGAAAUAGUACCUGAAAUUAUCGACUAACAAACAGUUAGAGUCCCGCUUUUAGCGGGAUGAUAGCGUGCCUAUUGAAGAAUGAACCGAUGAGUUCCCGAUUAGCGGCUUUACUUAAGCUACUAUGUAGCGAAGGUACAGUGAAAGCGAGCUUUAAUUGAGCGAUUUUGUCGCUAUCGGGAGACCCGAAACCGGGAUGAGCUAACCAUGGACAGGGUGAACCUUACCGAAAGGUAAGGGGAGGCCCGAACCCGUCAUCGUUGCAAAGAUGUGGGACGAUCUGUGGUUAGAGGUAAUAUGCCAAACGAACCCGGAGAUAGCUGGUUCUCCCCGAAAUAUAUUUAGGUAUAGCGGAUCGUUUACAAUUCUGGGGGUAGAGCACUCAAUGAGGUGUCGAGCGCAAGCAAGACAUCUCAAAGAAACUCCGAAUACCAGAUAAUACUACGGUCCAGUCAGUCCGGCUCGGCUAAGCGAGUCAGGUCGAGUGGGGGAAAAACCCAAACUCCCAAUUAAGGCCCCAAAAUUAUGACUAAGUUGUAAAGGAAGUGAGAUUUCAUAAACACCCAGGAGGUUGGCUUAGAAGCAGCCACCCUUUAAAGAGUGCGUAACAGCUCACUGGAUGAGAAAUCUUGCGCCGAAAAUGAACGGGGAUAAGUCAUGUGCCGAAAUUGGAGAUUCUUGCCUUUGGUAAGAAUGGUAGGGGAGCGUUCCUAUUGCGGUGAAGCUCACACUGUAAGGUGGGGUGGAGCGAUAGGAAGUGAGAAUGUCGGUAUGAGUAGCGAAAGGCCGAUGGGAAAUCGGCCCGCCGAAAACCCAAGGUUUCCGUCCCAACGUUCGUCGAGGACGGGUUAGUCGGAUCUAAGGCAAGUCCCGCGCGCUGUGUGCGUAAAUAAAGCGCGAGCGACCAAAAGAAACCUUACAACAAACAGCAAGCAUACAUUUUUUAUUAAAAUUUUCCUGCCGUUUGUAGUCGUAAGGUUGAUAGUUUGGAUGUUUGCGCACUUUGCGUACAAAGCGCGCGGGGGUAGCUCGAUGUGUAAGCCGUUGAAAUUCGGCUACAAUAUUAAAAGUGCUAAGGGGGUGACAAAAUUGGAAAGUGGACCGAGUCACACUCGGCUAAAUCACAAGAUAGUGGUAGCUGGAAAAUCCGUUACUCAUGUUUAAUCGAGUGAUGAUGGAGAGUCUAAAACGAAAGUAGCAGACAAUUCCAUACUUUUCAAUUUUCAGGAAAAAUCUCACUAGCGUCCCGAUUUAUCGGGACAACUUUUAAUAUUUCCGUACCGCAAACCGACACAGGUGGGUUGGUAGAGUAUACUAAGGCGAUCGGGAGAAAGCAGUUCAAGGAACUCGGCAAAAAAGCGUGGCGUAACCUUUGGGAGAUGCCCUGCCUCGUGUAAACGAGGCCGCAGCAAAAGACGCUUACCGACUGUUUAACUAAAACACAGGUCUCUGCAAAGCCGAAAGGCAAAGUAUAGGGGCUGACGCCUGCCCAGUGCACGAAGGUUAAGAAUCCUGGAUGAUCCCGCAAGGGUGAGUUUGGGAUUCAAGCCCGUGUGAACGGCAGCAGUAACUAUAACUGUUCUAUGGUAGCGAAGUUCCUCGACAGGGGGCGUUAUGACAAUCUAAAGUCGUAGCGCGAACUUGGCUGUAUGCUGAAAUAUCUGCAAGCAUCUUGUACUACUCGACAGAUUAUAUAAACAUGGAUUUAUGUCGGGUGAUAAUGUAUCAAGUGAAGCAGACAAUCAGCAGGAAACGCUGUAUUAUUUUUCUGGUCCGGUGCGAUUUAAUAAAAAUAUUUGGCGCAUGCGGAAUCUACAGCGGAUCCUCAACGACUAUACGCCAAGAUCCCCCGAUUAAAUCGGGGGAAUAAGAUAUAGUCUGAACUCGGCAGCGAUGUCGAGAGCUAAACAGAAAUGUUUAGUCCUCCGCACGAAUUCGCGCGGAAUGGUAACAUAGUUGUGUCGGGUUGGUUUAUGCGGGUCAUAAAUCAACUUGCCCGACCCCGGUUAAACGGGGACACUCGGGAACGCUAUCAAUAGUUAAACAUUUAUGCCUAUGAGCCAUUAUACAGAGUGUAAAAUUGUACUAUAUGCUGGGAACUCUGGUGAAUCUUGUACUACCAUGCAAAUGGUGAAAAUGUAUCAAGUGCAGACAAUCAGCAGGAAAGGAAUGGUCAUAAUUAAAUGACAAUUCAUCCUCAACGACUAUACGUACAAUCCCAAGUUUAUUGGCGGAAAGAUAUAGUCUGAUCUCACAAGCGAUUGUGAGUUAACACAAAAAUUUUGAAGUUCCGACCCGCACGAAAGGCAGAACGAGUAAGCGACUGUCUUGAACUGUUACCCGGCGAAAUUGAAAUGGCUGUGAAGAUGCGGCCUACUUGCACCUGGACAAAAAGACCCCGUGGAGCUUUACUGUAGCUUGGCAUUGGGAAAUUGGUUUUAACUGUCGAGAAUAGGUGGGACCCCGACGCGAGUCGGGGAUCAAUGGAAUACCACUCUUUAGAAUCAGUGACCCUUAUCCUUCUGCCACAAAAAUAACUGGCAAGGAGACAGUGUCUGGUGGGCAGUUUCGCUGGGGAGGUGGCCUCCAAAAUGGUAACGGAGGCGUACAAAGGUCGGCUUAUCCCGGAUGGAAAUCGGGAUGAAAGUGCAAACGCAGAAGCCGGCUUGACUGCGAGACAAACAUGUCGAGCAGAGCGGAAACGCGGUGUUAGUGAUCCUCGGAUCGGCAGUGGUUGCCGACCGGGCUUAACGGAUAAAAGCUACCCCGGGGAUACAAGCCAUGUGUCCCGUCUCGAUGGUGUAUACUAACAUCGAGACAAGUAAGGGCUAAUAACGGAGGAACCCUAAUACUGGCAGGUUUUAAGGUCUUCCUGCACGAGGCAGUAAAGGGUAAUUCCGUAGGAAGUCGGAGAUGAAUCAAAGACAAAAAGCAAUUCUUUUAGGGAUGGUUCUUGGCGAUUGUUAUUUGCAAAAGACAGGAGAGAAAAACUCGCGGAUAAGACUGGAACAUUCAUAUUUUCGCUGGCAGUCAAAUGCCAGUCCUGAAAUAGGCAGAUACCGUCAAAUAUUUUAUCAAAACGGAAAGAAGGUCAUUCCUAAAGGAUUACCGAUGCUAUUUGAUAAUUCUCUUUAGCUAUCUGGUUUAUGGAUGAUGGUUAUUAUUAUUUAAGAGAUAAGAUGGCCUAUAUCUAUAUUCCUAGAUGGUGUAAUGAGGAGAGAGAAAUAUUACUUGAAACAUUAAAAACUAAUUUUUCAUUAAAAGCAUCGAUAAAAAUAAAAAAGAAGGGUAAUUUGGUUUUGGUAUUUACUGUUGAAGAGACAGGGAAAUUAAUGGAUAAGAUCUUUUGUCAUCCUUUCUAUGAAAUAUAAAAUAUCUCCUGACCCUCUAUCGACUGCGGCUUAAAUGCCAAGGUUCUGUACCAGAUGGUACAGGACAAUACGCCCUCUCCCCCGCAUAUGCGGGGGAUGAAGAAAUAGUCAACGCUCCGAUGUAAAUCGGAGGAAAUUUAUUAUCGUGAACAGGCUGAUCGGGCCCGAGAGUCCAUAUCGACGGCCCGGUUUGGCACCUCGAUGUCGGCUCAUCCUAUCCUGGGGCUGGAGAAGGUCCCAAUGGUCCGGCUGUUCGCCGGUUAAAAGGGUACGCGAGCUGGGUUCAGAACGUCGUAAGACAGUUCGGUCUCUAUCCGGUGCAAGCGUUAGAUACUUGAGGGGAGCUCUUGUUAGUACGAGAGGACUGCGAGGGAGGAAUCCCUGGUGUUCCAGUUGUAGAAGGUAUAGCUUUCUGCAGCAAGCUGGAUAGCUACAUUCCUACGGGAUAAGCGCUGAAAGCAUCUGAAGCGCCAAGCCCACUCCAAGAUAAGGUAUCUUUAAGACCCCUUGUAGACUACAAGGUUGAUAGGCGGAAGGUGUACGUCUCGUAAGAGAUUUAGCCCAUCCGUACUAAUCGGUCGAGAGU
rnacentral:rRNA from 1 species